rnacentral:misc_RNA from 1 species
AAGUCGUAACAAGGUAACCGUAGGUGAACCUGCGGUUGGAUCAUUAAAAAUGAUAAAACAGCCUCUCACUGCUCGGUCGCAAGGACGCGUGGGUAAAGCCCGCUCGUUUUAGCGGGGAACGCGUUUGCCAGAUUUAUCUGAACAUAACGCGUUACCCAAGUUUUUUCGCAAAAACUUUACCGCGGUUGCUAAUGUAAUCCCUGAUUCCUACCGCGGCCUUGCAGUGAACGUUGGCACACAUCUUGUGAACCGUUUCUGUCUUUGGUGGUUGGGCGGCUGCUUCUUGCGAGCAGUUCGCUUGUCAGCCCAGGUUGGAUGACCUGGGCCGUGGACACACCACCGCAUGUUUUCAAACCUAAGUCUAUUGUAUAACUUUGUCUGAAAUUCCAUUUGUAUGAAUAUACAAACAACUUUUGGCAACGGAUCUCUUGGUUCUC